rnacentral:rRNA from 1 species
GAUGAACGCUGGCGGCGUGCCUAAUACAUGCAAGUCGAGCGAACGGACGAGAAGCUUGCUUCUCUGAUGUUAGCGGCGGACGGGUGAGUAACACGUGGAUAACCUACCUAUAAGACUGGGAUAACUUCGGGAAACCGGAGCUAAUACCGGAUAAUAUUUUGAACCGCAUGGUUCAAAAGUGAAAGACGGUCUUGCUGUCACUUAUAGAUGGAUCCGCGCUGCAUUAGCUAGUUGGUAAGGUAACGGCUUACCAAGGCAACGAUGCAUAGCCGACCUGAGAGGGUGAGCGGCCAGACUGGAAGUGAGAAACGGUCCAGACUCCUACGGGAGGCAGCAGUAGGGAAUCUUACGGAAUGGGCGAAAGCCUGACGGAGCAACGCCGCGUGAGUGAUGAAGGUCUUCGGAUCGUAAAACUCUGUUAUUAGGGAAGAACAUAUGUGUAAGUAACUGUGCACAUCUUGACGGUACCUAAUCAGAAAGCCACGGCUAACUACGUG